UGGGGGAUAUUGCACAAUGGGCGAAAGCCUGAUGCAGCGACGCCGCGUGGGGGAUGAAGGCUUUCGGGUUGUAAACCUCUUUCGCUAUCGAACAAGGCCCGCUUAGGGUGGGUUGAGGGUAGGUGGAGAAGAAGCGCCGGCUAACUACGUGCCAGCAGCCGCGGUAAUACGUAGGGCGCGAGCGUUGUCCGGAAUUAUUGGGCGUAAAGGGCUUGUAGGCGGCUUGUUGCGCCUGCUGUGAAAACGCGGGGCUUAACUUCGCGCGUGCAGUGGGGACGGGCAGGCUUGAGUAUGGUAGGGGUGACUGGAAUGCCAGGUGUAGCGGUGGAAUGCGAAGAGAUCUGGAGGAACACCGAUGGCGAAGGCAGGGCACUGGGCCAGUACUGACGCGGAGGAGCGAAAGCAUAGGUAGCGAACAGG
rnacentral:rRNA from 1 species